GAUGAACGCUGGCGGCGUGCCUAAUACAUGCAAGUCGAGCGAACGGACGAGAAGCUUGCUUCUCUGAUGUUAGCGGCGGACGGGUGAGUAACACGUGUAUAACCUACCUAUAAGACUGGGAUAACUUCGGGAAACCGGAGCUAAUACCGGAUAAUAUUUUGAACCGCAUGGUUCAAAAGUGAAAGACGGUCUUGCUGUCACUUAUAGAUGGAUCCGCGCUGCAUUAGCUAGUUGGUAAGGUAACGGCUUACCAAGGCAACGAUGCGUAGCCGACCUGAGAGGGUGGUCGGCCACACUGGAACUGAGACACGGUCCAGACUCCUACGGGAGGCAGCAGUAGGGAAUCUUCCACAAUGGGCGAAAGCCUGACGGAGCAACGCCGCGUGAGUGAUGAAGGUCUUCGGAUCGUAAAGCUCUGUUACUAGGGAAGAACAGAUGUGUAAGUAACUGUGCACAUCUUGACGGUACCUAAUCAGAAAGCCACGGCUAACUACGUG
rnacentral:rRNA from 1 species